UACCAGCUCUCCGAGUGGUAGGGAUGAUUAUUGGGCUUAAAGCGUCCGUAGCCAGCUUAGCAAGUUUCCUGUUAAAUUCAGCGACCUAAUCGUUGAGCCGCGGGAAAUACUACUAGGCUAGGAGGCGGGAGAGGUCGACGGUACUUCUGGGGUAGGGGUGAAAUCCUAUAAUCCCGGGAGGACCACCAGUGGCGAAGGCUGUCGACUAGAACGCGCUCGACGGUGAGGGACGAAAGCUGGGGGAGCGAACCGGAUUAGAUACCCGGGUAGUCCCAGCUGUAAACGAUGCGGGCUAGGUGUUGGGGUGGCUACGUGCCACUUCAGUGCCGCAGGGAAGCCAUUAAGCCCGCCGCCUGGGGAGUACGGCCGCAAGGCUGAAACUUAAAGGAAUUGGCGGGGGAGCACCACAAGGCGUGAAGCUUGCGGUUC
rnacentral:rRNA from 1 species